GACGAACGCUGGCGGCGUGCUUAACACAUGCGAGUCGAACGGAAAGGCCCCCACCUUGGUGGGGGUGCUCGAGUGGCGAACGGGUGAGUAACACGUGGGUGAUCUGCCCUGUACUUCGGGAUAAGCUUGGGAAACUGGGUCUAAUACCGGAUAGGACCAUGGUUUAGUGUCUCAUGGUGGAAAAAUUAUUGUUUUGGUGCAGGAUGAGCUCGCGGCCUAUCAGCUUGUUGGUGGGGUAAUGGCCUACCAAGGCGUCGACGGGUAGCCGGCCUGAGAGGGUGGACGGCCCCAUUGGGACUGAGGUACGGCCCAGCCUCCUACGGGAGGCAGCGGUGGGGAAUAUUGCACAAUGGGCGCAAGCCUGAUGCAGCGACGCCGCGUGGGGGAUGACGGCCUUCGGGUUGUAAACUCCUUUCGUUAGGGACGAAGCCACACCUUUUUUGGGUGUGGUGACGGUACCUUUGUUAAGAAGCACCGGCUAACUACGUG
rnacentral:rRNA from 1 species